rnacentral:rRNA from 1 species
GAUGAACGCUGGCGGCGUGCCUAAUACAUGCAAGUCGAGCGAACAGACGAGGAGCUUGCUCCUCUGACGUUAGCGGCGGACGGGUGAGUAACACGUGGAUAACCUACCUAUAAGACUGGGAUAACUUCGUGAAACCGGAGCUAAUACCGGAUAAUAUCUUGAACCGCAUUGUUCAAUAGUGAAAGACGGUUUUGCUGUCACUUAUAGAUGGAUCCGCGCGGCAUUAGCUAGUUGGUAAGGUAACGGCUUACCAAGGCAAUGAUGCGUAGCCGACCUGAGAGGGUGAUCGGCCACACUGGAACUGAGACACGGUCCAGACUCCUACGGGAGGCAGCAGUAGGGAAUCUUCCGCAAUGGGCGAAAGCCUGACGGAGCAACGCCGCGUGAGUGAUGAAGGUCUUCGGAUCGUAAAACUCUGUUAUUAGGGAAGAACAAAUGUGUAAGUAACUAUGCACGUCUUGACGGUACCUAAUCAGAAAGCCACGGCUAACUACGUG